rnacentral:lncRNA from 1 species
GGCAUUAUAGUCAUUUCACAAUAAAGGAGAGAUCAGACGGCAAAACGGACAUCACUUUUGAACUCAGGACGGUCGAAAACCUUAGGAGGGGCAUAAAAGGAAAAAUGGCACUAUUCACAUGUACGGUACUAUUCACGUGUACGGUACUGUAUACGUUACUGUUCACGACACUGUUCACAUAGACGGAUGAUGACGUGGCAUUGAUCGAUGAUGUGGCAUUGACUGAUGAGGUGUCACGAUCCUGUUGGACUAAAAUUCUUAUGUAUUGUUGAUGGAGACGUGGCAGCAUAUCAGUGGACGAAAAAUCUUGUGUACGGUGCAUGCAUCACACAGGAUUAUUUUCAACCAAACCGCG